rnacentral:rRNA from 1 species
GGGCAAGUUUGGUGCCAGCAGCCGCGGUAAUACCGACUCCAAGAGUGUGUAUGAGAGAUGCUGCAGUUAAAAAGUCCGUAGUCAUAGAAGGGCAAAGAGAGAUGCGAGGUCUCACAGUGCGAUGAUGGAGGAGCCGAUGGGGAACAUAGUAUACCAGGGCGAGAGAUGAAAUGCCAAGACCCCUGGUGGACUGAGCGAGGCGAAGGCGAUGUUCUUGUAGGCAUUCGGUGAUCAAGGACGAAGGCUGGAGUAUCGAAAGUGAUUAGAUACCGCAGUAGUUCCAGCAGUAAAAGAUGCCGACAUGCUCAUGGGACACAGUGGGCAGGGAGAAAUCUUAGAGUUCGGGCUCUGGGGAUAGUAUGCUCGCAAGGGUGAAAAUUAAAGAAAUUGACGGAGCUACACCACAAGGAGUGGAUUGUGCGGCUUAAUUUGACUCAACGCGAGGAAACUUACCAGGGCCAAGUAUUGUGUAGAAACGAGCAAUACAGGAGUGGUGCAUGGUCGUUGGAAAUUGAUGGGAUGACUUUGACCUUAAAUGGUUGAAUGAGUGAGAUCUUUUGGACAUGUUCCGCACGGAACAGGAAGGAAAAGGCUAUAACAGAUCCGAGAUGCCCUCAGAUUCCCUGGGCUGCACGCGCAAUACAAUAGCAGGUAGAGAGAGAGACAGGAAGGUGCUCAGAUGGACUAUGUGCUGUAAGGCACAUACGAAAGAGGAAUUCCUAGUAAGUGUGUAUCA